rnacentral:rRNA from 1 species
GUCCCUCGGGAUUACAUUUGAAUCGCUGAAGUUGACCGAACUUGAUGAUUUAGAGGAAGUAAAAGUCGUAACAAGGUUUCCGUAGGUGAACCUGCGGAAGGAUCAUUACUGUACUGGUACUUGUAUCCAAGAGAGCGAAAAACAGAUCGAACGUGCGUCUGAUGCCGCGCGCGGCCCCGCCCGACAAGGCAAUAUGUCCCGGUGCUGGGGCUGCGCAGGGCAUGGCCAACCUCUACCCCGUUACCCGAGUGUUUUUUUUCCGAGGACCCUCCCCCGAGUUCCCUGAUCGGAGGGAACGGAAAGCUGCGCAAUGUCCGUACCCGUGCCCUAAUAGUUGUGGGUGUGAUACGGAUUGGACUUGCCCCGACCCGACCCCGGGGCCAAGGCCGAACCCGGCACGGGGACCCGCUUUGGUUUUACUUUUUUAAAUGGCAGGUCGGCGCACUGCCACUUCGGUGGUGGCGGGGGGCCGCCGAACAACAAAAAAGGAAAAGGAAUAGUUUUGUUGCUGUUACUCUUACCCAAACCCAAACCCUA